rnacentral:lncRNA from 1 species
UAUGAAACAAAAGAAAUUUAAUUUCAGAAUAUUACAUGAAUAUAAAAGAAAAACAAUACAUGUUUCUUUACAGUUACAUAUAUAUAUAUACAGGAUAUAGUUGAAUAAGAAUGAAAAAAUUAAAAAUGGUUAGACAGUUAAGAAACCUUGCUUCUCUUGUUGAGCGAGCUUGGGGGUAGUGAAAAGGCAAGCCUUGCUAUGUAGUAAAGGACCCUGGGGCAGGGGUGCUUUUCCCAACCAGUUCUGCUGGUCCCCAGACAUGUCUGGGGGAGUGCUCAAUGGCUCCUUAGCAUCUG